rnacentral:rRNA from 1 species
GACGAACGCUGGCGGCGUGCCUAAUACAUGCAAGUCGAACGCAGUGGGGACGGGUGAGUAACACGUGGGUAACCUCCCAUCAGAGGGGAUAACACUUGGAAACAGGUGCUAAACCGAGACGGAUGGAUGAACCCGCGGUUCAUUAGCUAGUUGGUGAGGUAACGGCUCCCCAAGGCCACGAUGCAUAGCCGGCCUGAGAGGAUGACCAGCCAAACUGGAACUGAGACACGGCCCAGACUCCUACGGGAGGCAGCAGUAGGGAAUCUUCGGCAAUGGACGAAAGUCUGAUCGAGCAAUGCCGCGUGAGUGAAGAAGGUUUUCGGAUCGUAAAACUCUGUUGUUAGAGAAGCGGUAUCUAACCAGAAAGCCACGGCUAACUACGUGCCAGCAGCCGCGGUAAUUC